rnacentral:rRNA from 1 species
CAUGGAGUUUGAUCCUGGCUCAGAUUGAACGCUGGCGGAAUGCUUUACACAUGCAAGUCGAACGGUAGAGGGGGCAACCCCUUGAGAGUGGCGAACGGGUGAGUAAUAUAUCGGAACGUGCCCAGUCGUGGGGGAUAACGUAGUGAAAAUUACGCUAAUACCGCAUACGAUCUAAGGAUGAAAGCGGGGAUCGCAAGACCUCGCGCGACUGGAGCGGCCGAUAUCAGAUUAGGUAGUUGGUAGGGUAAAGGCCUACCAAGCCAACGAUCUGUAGCUGGUCUGAGAGGACGACCAGCCACACUGGAACUGAGACACGGUCCAGACUCCUACGGGAGGCAGCAGUGGGGAAUUUUGGACAAUGGGCGAAAGCCUGAUCCAGCCAUUCCCGCGUGCAGGAUGAAGACCCUCGGGUUGUAAACUGCUUUUGUACAGAACGAAAAGGUUUCUAUUAAUACUAGGAGCUCAUGACGGUACUGUAAG